rnacentral:rRNA from 1 species
UACGGAGGGUGCAAGCGUUAUCCGGAUUCACUGGGUUUAAAGGGUGCGUAGGUGGGCAGGUAAGUCAGUGGUGAAAUCUCCGGGCUUAACCCGGAAACUGCCAUUGAUACUAUCUGUCUUGAAUACCGUGGAGGUGAGCGGAAUAUGUCAUGUAGCGGUGAAAUGCUUAGAUAUGACAUAGAACACCAAUUGCGAAGGCAGCUCACUACACGAAUAUUGACACUGAGGCACGAAAGCGUGAGGAUCAAACAGG